UACGUAGGGUGGCGAGCGUUGCCCGGAUUUAUUGGGCGUAAAGGGCGCGUAGGCGGCUCGGCACGUCCGUUGUGAAAUCGCCCGGCUCGAACUGGGCGGGGUCAGCGGAUACGGUCGAGCUUGAGCAAGCUAGGGGGCAAUGGAAUUCCCGGUGUAGUGGUGGAAUGCGUAGAUAUCGGGAGAACACCAGUGGCGAAGGCGAUUGCCUGGGGCUUUGCUGACGCUGAUGCGCGAAAGCGUGGGGAGCGAGUCCGG
rnacentral:rRNA from 1 species